GUUUUCUCGAAUUAAGAAGAGCUAUAACUGUAUAUAUUUAUCUGUGGUAUAAAAUUUUUUCAUACGGUUAUAGGGGUGAAAUGCUAUUCGUUUUUUAAUAUAUCUAGUUUCUUAAGAAAUAAAUUUAAUUUAGUUUCUUCAGUAUGUUUAGUUGAUUGUUUAGUUGUUCAUGUGAAGUAUUUAAUAUCAUAAGGGAUAAGCUUUGUGAUAGAUUUAUAUAACUCUGUGUAUGAUACUUUAAAGUUUGUAGAAUUGGAAAUGUUUAUCUUUAGUUUGUUAUAAUUAAUUUUAGGUCGAAUAAGAUUUAUAUAAUUGUUUAUGUUUUAUAUUAAGAUUAUUUAUUGAAUUGAAUUUUAUGUGUAAUUAUGAUAAAAUUAGUAUAAUUAUUUGUAUAAAGUAGUUAAAUUGUCAGGUUAAAUCAAGGAAUUCGGCAAAUUACUUUUCGCCUGUUUAUUAAAAACAUGUCUUUUUGAUUAUAAUUUAAAGUCUGACCUGCCCAAUGAGUAGUUUAAUGGCCGCGGUAUUUUGACCGUGCAAAGGUAGCAUAAUCAUUAGUUUUUUAAUUGGAAGCUGGAAUGAAUGGUUGGACGAGAAAGUUACUGUCUCGGUUUAAUUUUUAUUAGAAUUUUAUCUGUAAGUAAAAAAGCUUACAUUAUUUUAAAAGACGAGAAGACCCUAUAGAAUUUUAUAGUGUUUAUUUUUAUUGUUGUUAGAUAUUUUAAUAUUAAAGGUUUAUAGCUAUUUUGUUGGGGCGACAGAAAAAUUGGUUUAACUUUUUUUAAUUUAGUUCAUUAAUUUAUGUUUAAUUGAUCCAUCUUUGAUGAUUAUAAGAUUAAAUUACCUUAGGGAUAACAGCGUAAUUUUUUUCUAGAGUUCUGAUCGAAAAAAGAGUUUGCGACCUCGAUGUUGGAUUAAAAUUAACUUUUGGUGCAGGAGCUAAAAGGUUAGGUCUGUUCGAC
rnacentral:rRNA from 1 species